rnacentral:tRNA from 1 species
GCAGUGGUGGUCCAGUGGUAGAAUUCUCGCCUUCCAUGCUGGAGACCUGGGUUCGAUUCCUGACCAACGCA